rnacentral:rRNA from 1 species
AUUGAACGCUGGCGGCAGGCCUAACACAUGCAAGUCGAGCGGAUGAAGGGAGCUUGCUCCUGGAUUCAGCGGCGGACGGGUGAGUAAUGCCUAGGAAUCUGCCUGGUAGUGGGGGAUAACGUCCGGAAACGGGCGCUAAUACCGCAUACGUCCUGAGGGAGAAAGUGGGGGAUCUUCGGACCUCACGCUAUCAGAUGAGCCUAGGUCGGAUUAGCUAGUUGGUGGGGUAAAGGCCUACCAAGGCGACGAUCCGUAACUGGUCUGAGAGGAUGAUCAGUCACACUGUAACUGAGACACGGUCCAGACUCCUACGGGAGGCAGCAGUGGGGAAUAUUGGACAAUGGGCGAAAGCCUGAUCCAGCCAUGCCGCGUGUGUGAAGAAGGUCCUCGGAUUGUAAAGCACUUUAAGUUGGGAGGAAGGGCAGUAAGUUAAUACCUUGCUGUUUUGACGUUACCAACAGAAUAAGCACCGGCUAACUUCGUG